rnacentral:misc_RNA from 1 species
CCGUGACGUCCUCCUGACCAUCUCGAGGGCCCUUCCUACCGUCCCAGCCCCCCUCCAUCGCGCGCGUACACCUGCAUUCUUCCGGCCGCUACGCCCCCGCCGUCUCCCCUUCCUCGCGUGCAGGGUGGCUCCUUCCGGUUGCGUUUGUUGUAUUCUACUUCGGCUCCCCACCCCACCCUCACCCUUCCUUCAUCGAUAGAGACAGCAGAGGUGCUGCCUACCCGGCCCCGCCCUCCCUCGUCGCAGUCGCUUAGACGUACGUAGAGCUAAACAGCGAGUUCCUCUUCUCUCCCACUUCGUUGUGGCCGCGCCUUCUUUUGUACGGGCGCGUGUCUGUCUGUUGGUGUGUGUGUGUGUGUGUGUGUGUGUUCGCGUUGCUCUGGUGUCUUCCCUCCCCCUCCUCCUUUGUGCUGCGGGUAUUUGCCUGCCCCGCGUGCGCUUGUGAAGAUCCGUUGUGGCGGCGACCGGCGAGGCACGCAUCCAUCUUUUCCUCCCCCUCUCUCGUGCCUUUUCCCUUCGCCGGCCCACCAUGCUUCGGCUCUCUCGGUUUGUCUCCUCCGCCGUGAGCUCAAAGGGUCUUGCGCGGGUGAGCAAGCAGACCGUGAGGCGAGAUAAUCACCCUACUGCCGUGAAGAAACCGUCAGUGGCCACGACAGCGGGCGCGGUGGCGCCAUUCGCGGCCGCGCACGUAGGCUCCAGCAUGUCACCUGCCCCGCGAGGUCGCUACAGCGACUCGCACGCGGGGGAGAUCGAGGCGGACUGCGCCGUCCUCGAAGAUCACGGUCGCGGCGCUCCGCAGGAUUCGCAUAAUCCGCAGAACCACGCCGGCAUGAACGGUGCACAGCACUGUGACCACCGCAGCGCUGGCAAACUCAACUUUGAUGCCUCGAAGGCAGGGCUUCAGCAGGUGGAUAAAGACUACGUCGAGCACGUCAUUCAGGAGGCGUCGAAGGGGUCUGCUUUCUACCAAAAGGAGCAGCGGCUCGAGGAGACGCGGCGUCGCAAAGCCGAGGAGCUUCAGGAGAAGGCCAAGACAUUCGACUCCAUCAGCGCCGCAGAGAAGCAGCGGAUCAAGGCCAUGGUAGACGCCAUGGUGGACGAGCUCGAGGCGACGCGCGAUCUCCGGCGCCGGUACAUCCACAUCGACAUGGACAUGUUCUACGCUGCGGUGGAGGAGAAGAAGACGCCGUCGCUGAGAGGCAAGCCCUUCGGCGUCGGCUCUCAGCAGAUGCUCUCCACGACAAACUACAUUGCGCGGCAGUACGGUGUGCGCUCUGGCAUGCCCGGCUUCAUCGGCAAGAAGCUCUGCCCCGAGCUCAUUAUCGUGCCGAACGACUUCCCAGCCUACCAGCGAGAGGCGGCGCGGGUGCACAGCAUCGCCUCCCGCUACGAUGCGCAAUUCGUCAGCGUCGGCCUCGAUGAGCUGACGAUGGACGUGACAAAGUACCUGCAGGAGUUCCCGGCCGUGUCAGCCUCCGACAUCGCCCACGACUUCCGCGACGAGGUGUUCCUCAAGACACAGCUCACAAGCAGCGGCGGCAUCGGACCCACGUCAAUUCUCGCGAAGAUUGCCAGCAACGUCAACAAGCCGAAUGGUCAGCAUGAGAUCACGCUGCUGACGCGAGAGGAAGUUAUCAAUUACGUGCGCGACAUUCCGCUGCGCAAGAUCCCCGGCAUCGGCUACGCGCAAGAGAUGACACUCGGUGCGCUGCACAUCCACACCUGCGGCGGCCUCCUGGAGCACAAGUACCUCCUAGCCUACCUGUUCCGAGAAAAGACCCUGGCGCACUACCUCAGCGUUGGACUGGGGCUGGCAGAGACGUUCUCGCUGCGCAAGCAUCAGGCACGGCAGUCGGUUGGUAAGGAAACGUCGUUUAGCGAGCCACUGCCCUCGCCAGAGGCCUUCACUCGACUCUUCCGCAAGCUUCUUGAGCAGUGCCAUGUCCGCUGCGUUCGCGAUCACCUGCAGCCUCGCAAGAUGACACUGGUUCUCAAGUAUCGCACCUAUGACACGGAGCAGUUCAGUGUGACGCUCCCGAGCCACACGAACGACCUCAAGGUGUGGCUUGAGGCCUCGCAGAAGCUGCUGGAGCCGCAUCUUCUGCACUACGCCGAGUUCCGCCUGAUCGGUGUCCGCCUGCAGCGCUUCACAGACACCGAUGAUGACCACGCUGGCCUCAACAGCACCCGCGAUGCCUUGACCGGCGCCUUGACAGAACCGCUUCAAGUGAAUGACGACUUAGACAUGGAUGCCGACGAUGCCGACCGUGACGCUGAGAAGAGCGGGGUAGCUGCGGAGCAGUCGGACCCGUGUGGAGAGUCGCCGGUGCAGCCUUCAGCAACGUACAAGCGCAAGAUUCCCGUCUCGAAGUUCCUGACAGAUCCAAACAUCCCGAAAGCCCGCCCUGCGGAGCCCACUGCGGUGCCCGCCAAAGCCGUCAAGCCGGCGCGCAGGCGCACGAAGCCGUCGAAGGGAAAGCUGCACAAAAAGAAGUGAGCAGGGGUGCGAGCAAAGCAGUCGGAGGAGACGGGACGAAAAUGGCGAUUACUGCGGAACGGUAGGUGUAUCGCGCAGGAUGGGCGCUGGGCAUUUUCGGGGACGGGGAUCAGAACCGGCCGUCGUCGCCACAUAGCGUCCGUCUUUCCAAGGAAAAACAAAUGUCAUACCGUUUUUACCUAUAGAGAACGAGGGAGAGCAGCGUACGUGGCACAGAGAACAACAACACUCCUCCUCCCCUCCCGAAAAGAGCAAGGGUGGCAAGGGCGCUCCAGCGCUGAUUUCCGUGUAUAGAUUCUUUCGGAGAGUUAUCCGUGGUGCGUCGGAGACGCGGUGACGUGUGCUCGGAACAACAUAGCAAAAGAGGAGGAGAAAUGUUGUGUGGUCGGAGGGAGAGGGUGGAAGGCAAGGAGACGAGCAGGCUGCAAAAAGAGCUGAGAUGGUCGUCGAAAUGGAUCGCAGCACCCAUCUCUCGCCUACGCGGUCUUCCCUCCCUCCCCCCCCCCUGCCCUGCUGCCGGUUCGUCUAUCCACACAACGGCGACUCAAUAGUGUGCGCAAAAUAUCAUGCACCAGUGAGGUACACUCUCGCGACUUUACAUAGACAUAUAUACAAGUGGGAUGGCCGUCCGGGGUUGUUUAGUUGUUGUUUCUUUACGCUUACGGAAGCGCAGGUGCGUCUUGUCUGAUCCCCUUCGCCUCUUUUUUGUGUGUUUGUAGGGGGGGGGGCUCUUUGCUCCUCGUGUGUUGAUCGUCCCUGUGGGCGUUGUUUGGUGGAAGUAUGAGGGUGCGUGUGUUUCGUGUUCCAGUGGAGGGGCUGGUGGACGGUAGAGAAAAAAAAGGGAUAUUGUUCGCCGCCCUCUCUCUCGCCUCCCCUUCAUCUCCCCCUUCUUCCUCCCCACCGUGUGUGGGGGGGGGGGGGGUCCUCUGCGCGCAGACACGCCAUUUUGGUCUAUUCCUUUUAUAUUGCUGUUUUAGCUGAGCGAUGGGGCGUGGUCUCUGCGGACGCGGGUCCGCACAUGACUGCAUUGAACCUGUCGAGUAGAAAGGGGCACCCGCAUUCGGCCCUCUCCUUCCCCACCUCAGUACGCGGCAGGGGAGUAGGGGGGGGGGCCAAUGCCGGUGCCCGAGAGCUUGAGCACGGGGUAGAUGCCUUCCCCCCUCCCCGUGUAUUCCUUUUGCUACCUUGUUUAUCUACAGGUGCCUUGGUGUAGGCUGAUGGAGAGGGAACGGAUUUGCUUCGAGCGUGUCAAGCGUGCACGUCAGCGCAUCGCCCUCGUGUGUCUGUGUCAAUGUUGCGUGUGCGUGUUCCUGCGGGUUGCUGUAAAAAAAGGACGAGGAAUCGACUUAGCAGCAUGGCCCGUCUUUAUCUCCCCUAGAGUUGAUGGACGCGUGAACUCGGAUAGUUUCGAUGUCGUCGCUCCUCCCUCCCCACUUGGCUACUAUUUAGGGCGUUGAUUCGAGUCGACCUUUGAUGUCCCUUCAGAGAGCGACCGUCCGCUCCUGUCAACCCGUUGGUGCAGCGAACGCACUUGAGAGAGGCUCACUCCCCUCCAUCCCUCUCUGUGUGCUUUGGCUCACAGAGGUGAGCAAGUGAGAGGAGCGUGGUCGCUCACGUCCUCCGACCCCUAUUCUUCCUCCACCACCCACCAUCACGACCGCUGCGCUGCUUUUGCGACGACGAUGCGAACUGCAGCGGCUGCGGCUCCCUGUGCAUGCACCUCUACCACCACCCCUCCAUCUUGUCGGCUUCUCACACAUCACCCUGCAACUGUUUUGUGCACGCAUACGCACGCCAG